AAAUUACCCACUCUCAAUACGAUGAGGUAGUGACGAGAAAUAACGAGUCCGUUCUCUUUGAGGUCGGACAUUGGAAUGGGUACAAUGUAGACAAUUUAACGAGUAUCUACGAGAGGGCAAGUCUGGUGCCAGCAGCCGCGGUAAUUCCAGCUCUCGUAAUACAUAGAAUUAUUGUUGCGGUUAAAAAGUUCAUAGUUGGAUUGUCGAACCGCGGCGGGGUGCGGCCGAAAGGUCGUCACUUCGUGUGCGGUAUUUUGUGUGUUUGCGGGCGCGAGGUCUUCGGACUGCGCGUCCCGUUGCACGCAGGAUUACUUUGAACGGCUCAAGUGCUCAAGGCGUGUCUUAGGACUGAAUACCGGUGCAUGGAAUAAUGGAACAAGGCGGCGGCCGAGUUUUAUUGGUUUUGUCGGCUGCCACAAUGGUUAACAGGAACAGCCGGGGGCAUUCGUAUCGCUGCGCGAGAGGUGAAAUUCGGGGACCGUAGCGAGACGCACUAAAGCGAAGGCAUUUGCCAAGAGUGUUUUCAUUAAUCAAGAACGAAAGUCAGAGGUUCGAAGGCGAUUAGAUACCGCCCUAGUUCUGACCGUAAAUGAUGCCAACUACCAAUCCGCUGGUGGGUUUCGAUUCCACGAGCGGGCGGGUUUCCGGAAACGACAAGUGUUUCGGUUCCGGGGGAAGUAUGGUUGCAAAGCUGAAACUUAAAGGAAUUGACGGAAGGGCACCACCAGGAGUGGAGCCUGCGGCUUAAUUUGACU
rnacentral:rRNA from 1 species